CCAACACUGGCCCUGUCACUUGAAGAAACUGACUUCACCCCUGUGUUCCUCCCCUUCUGACUCUAUGAAAUGGGUUUAGUGACACUAGAUAUCUAGCAAUGAGAGCUUUGGUAAGGACCAAUGCUGGGCAUUACUAUGAAAGAAUCUGGAACUCCUGCCUCACCUCUGGAUUUCCUUUGUAUCCUCAAACAACCAGAUGAUGACAAACCUCAUUCUGGGUCACUUUGGAGGCCAAGAGAGUUAAGCCCAUCGAAAAGGACUGGUGUAUACUGGGCUAAAGGCAUGAGAGAAGUAAAAUUAAAAACAGCUGGGAGAUAAAAAUAAUAUUUUCACUCUUCCACAGUGAAGGGGAAAACAUGAUUGCUUGUGUUUUAUAAGUGGGGAAGUGAAUGCUACCGCUAUACCUAUGAUUAAGUGAGCUGGCAACAGACAGAACAGAAGAAAAGUAAAAGUUUAAGUCUGAAGAACUCUAAAGCACUUGCUAUUCAAAGCCAUACUCCAGAAGGCCCUGUUAAAAGUGUCUGAGCAAUUCUGGAUGUUGCUAUAAAUGUGUCUGAAUUGUCUGCUGCCCGUCAGGUGGGAAAUGGCAUCUUUCCACUCCCUCUCAUCUCCAACAGGGCAGCUUCUGUCCUGGGAAUACUGCAGGUUUCAGAGGAGUGUGACAUGCAGGCCCUGCUUUAUCAAGUCGCAGACCUCAAUAUUCUUCUUAAAACACGUAAAAAGCACCCUCCUCUGUCUACAGCUGUUCAGGAGGUUUUUAGCUUAUUAAUUUCCUUCUCACUGGCAAUAUGUAAGCUACAAUUCAUUUAAAUGGUCUCCCCCUCCUUCCUUCCUUCCUUCCUUCCUUCCUUCCUUCCUUCCUCCC
rnacentral:lncRNA from 10 species